UACGGAGGGGGCAAGCGUUGUUCGGAAUUACUGGGCGUAAAGGGCGCGCAGGCGGCUGCUCAAGUCAGGCGUGAAAGGCCUGGGCUCAACCCGGGAAUUGCGCUUGAGACUGGGCUGGCUUGAGUGCGGGAGAGGAUGGUGGAAUUCCCAGUGUAGAGGUGAAAUUCGUAGAUAUCAGGAGGAACACCGGUGGCGAAGGCGCACAUCUGGCCCAAUACUGACGCUGAGGCGCGAAAGCUAGGGGAGCAAACGGG
rnacentral:rRNA from 1 species